AACGAACGCUGGCGGCGCGCCUAAUACAUGCAAGUCGAGCGAGAAGACGUAGCAAUACGUUUGUAAAGCGGCGAACGGGUGAGGAAUACAUGGGUAACCUACCCUCGAGUGGGGAAUAACUAGCCGAAAGGUUAGCUAAUACCGCGUACGCUCCUUGGACUUCGGUUCAGGGAGGAAAGCGAUACCGUGGGUAUCGCGCUCUUGGAUGGGCUCAUGUCCUAUCAGCUUGUUGGUGAGGUAACGGCUCACCAAGGCUUCGACGGGUAGCUGGUCUGAGAGGACGAUCAGCCACACUGGCACUGCGACACGGGCCAGACUCCUACGGGAGGCAGCAGUAAGGAAUAUUGCGCAAUGGGCGAAAGCCUGACGCAGCGACGCCGCGUGGGGGAUGAAGGUCUUCGGAUUGUAAACCCCUUUCGGGAGGGAAGAUGGAACGAGCAAUCGUUCGGACGGUACCUCCAGAAGCAGCCACGGCUAACUUCGUGCC
rnacentral:rRNA from 1 species